AGCUUGGUAGCUUAGUUGGUAAAGCGCUCGUCCAGUAUUCAGAGUCCUGGGUUCGAAUCCCAGCCGAGCAC
rnacentral:tRNA from 1 species